rnacentral:rRNA from 1 species
GGGUUGUGAGGUUAAGCGACUAAGCGUACACGGUGGAUGCCCUGGCAGUCAGAGGCGAUGAAGGACGUGCUAAUCUGCGAUAAGCGUCGGUAAGGUGAUAUGAACCGUUAUAACCGGCGAUUUCCGAAUGGGGAAACCCAGUGUGAUUCGUCACACUAUCAUUAACUGAAUCCAUAGGUUAAUGAGGCGAACCGGGGGAACUGAAACAUCUAAGUACCCCGAGGAAAAGAAAUCAACCGAGAUUCCCCCAGUAGCGGCGAGCGAACGGGGAGCAGCCCAGAGCCUGAAUCAGUGUGUGUGUUAGUGGAAGCGUCUGGAAAGGCGCGCGAUACAGGGUGACAGCCCCGUACACAAAAAUGCACAUGCUGUGAGCUCGAUGAGUAGGGCGGGACACGUGGUAUCCUGUCUGAAUAUGGGGGGACCAUCCUCCAAGGCUAAAUACUCCUGACUGACCGAUAGUGAACCAGUACCGUGAGGGAAAGGCGAAAAGAACCCCGGCGAGGGGAGUGAAAAAGAACCUGAAACCGUGUACGUACAAGCAGUGGGAGCCUCUUUAUGGGGUGACUGCGUACCUUUUGUAUAAUGGGUCAGCGACUUAUAUUCUGUAGCAAGGUUAACCGAAUAGGGGAGCCGAAGGGAAACCGAGUCUUAACUGGGCGUUAAGUUGCAGGGUAUAGACCCGAAACCCGGUGAUCUAGCCAUGGGCAGGUUGAAGGUUGGGUAACACUAACUGGAGGACCGAACCGACUAAUGUUGAAAAAUUAGCGGAUGACUUGUGGCUGGGGGUGAAAGGCCAAUCAAACCGGGAGAUAGCUGGUUCUCCCCGAAAGCUAUUUAGGUAGCGCCUCGUGAAUUCAUCUCCGGGGGUAGAGCACUGUUUCGGCAAGGGGGUCAUCCCGACUUACCAACCCGAUGCAAACUGCGAAUACCGGAGAAUGUUAUCACGGGAGACACACGGCGGGUGCUAACGUCCGUCGUGAAGAGGGAAACAACCCAGACCGCCAGCUAAGGUCCCAAAGUCAUGGUUAAGUGGGAAACGAUGUGGGAAGGCCCAGACAGCCAGGAUGUUGGCUUAGAAGCAGCCAUCAUUUAAAGAAAGCGUAAUAGCUCACUGGUCGAGUCGGCCUGCGCGGAAGAUGUAACGGGGCUAAACCAUGCACCGAAGCUGCGGCAGCGACGCUUAUGCGUUGUUGGGUAGGGGAGCGUUCUGUAAGCCUGCGAAGGUGUACUGUGAGGUAUGCUGGAGGUAUCAGAAGUGCGAAUGCUGACAUAAGUAACGAUAAAGCGGGUGAAAAGCCCGCUCGCCGGAAGACCAAGGGUUCCUGUCCAACGUUAAUCGGGGCAGGGUGAGUCGACCCCUAAGGCGAGGCCGAAAGGCGUAGUCGAUGGGAAACAGGUUAAUAUUCCUGUACUUGGUGUUACUGCGAAGGGGGGACGGAGAAGGCUAUGUUGGCCGGGCGACGGUUGUCCCGGUUUAAGCGUGUAGGCUGGUUUUCCAGGCAAAUCCGGAAAAUCAAGGCUGAGGCGUGAUGACGAGGCACUACGGUGCUGAAGCAACAAAUGCCCUGCUUCCAGGAAAAGCCUCUAAGCAUCAGGUAACAUCAAAUCGUACCCCAAACCGACACAGGUGGUCAGGUAGAGAAUACCAAGGCGCUUGAGAGAACUCGGGUGAAGGAACUAGGCAAAAUGGUGCCGUAACUUCGGGAGAAGGCACGCUGAUACGUAGGUGAAGUCCCUUGCGGAUGGAGCUGAAAUCAGUCGAAGAUACCAGCUGGCUGCAACUGUUUAUUAAAAACACAGCACUGUGCAAACACGAAAGUGGACGUAUACGGUGUGACGCCUGCCCGGUGCCGGAAGGUUAAUUGAUGGGGUUAGCGGUAACGCGAAGCUCUUGAUCGAAGCCCCGGUAAACGGCGGCCGUAACUAUAACGGUCCUAAGGUAGCGAAAUUCCUUGUCGGGUAAGUUCCGACCUGCACGAAUGGCGUAAUGAUGGCCAGGCUGUCUCCACCCGAGACUCAGUGAAAUUGAACUCGCUGUGAAGAUGCAGUGUACCCGCGGCAAGACGGAAAGACCCCGUGAACCUUUACUAUAGCUUGACACUGAACAUUGAGCCUUGAUGUGUAGGAUAGGUGGGAGGCUUUGAAGUGUGGACGCCAGUCUGCAUGGAGCCGACCUUGAAAUACCACCCUUUAAUGUUUGAUGUUCUAACGUUGGCCCCUAAUCGGGGUUGCGGACAGUGUCUGGUGGGUAGUUUGACUGGGGCGGUCUCCUCCUAAAGAGUAACGGAGGAGCACGAAGGUUGGCUAAUCCUGGUCGGACAUCAGGAGGUUAGUGCAAUGGCAUAAGCCAGCUUGACUGCGAGCGUGACGGCGCGAGCAGGUGCGAAAGCAGGUCAUAGUGAUCCGGUGGUUCUGAAUGGAAGGGCCAUCGCUCAACGGAUAAAAGGUACUCCGGGGAUAACAGGCUGAUACCGCCCAAGAGUUCAUAUCGACGGCGGUGUUUGGCACCUCGAUGUCGGCUCAUCACAUCCUGGGGCUGAAGUAGGUCCCAAGGGUAUGGCUGUUCGCCAUUUAAAGUGGUACGCGAGCUGGGUUUAGAACGUCGUGAGACAGUUCGGUCCCUAUCUGCCGUGGGCGCUGGAGAACUGAGGGGGGCUGCUCCUAGUACGAGAGGACCGGAGUGGACGCAUCACUGGUGUUCGGGUUGUCAUGCCAAUGGCACUGCCCGGUAGCUAAAUGCGGAAGAGAUAAGUGCUGAAAGCAUCUAAGCACGAAACUUGCCCCGAGAUGAGUUCUCCCUGACUCCUUGAGAGUCCUGAAGGAACGUUGAAGACGACGACGUUGAUAGGCCGGGUGUGUAAGCGCAGCGAUGCGUUGAGCUAACCGGUACUAAUGAACCGUGAGGCUUAACCUUACAACGCCGAAGCUGUU